AUUUUAAUGAUCACGAAUAUUGUAUUAUAUAUUUUAAAAGUGGAUAAUUUAUUUAAAACUCAUUUCCUACAUUCAGUAUUUUGUAUUCGUUGAAUAUUUAUACAUAUCGGAGAAUUUUUGAAGGUACUCUUUGAAUGAAAUUCGUAUAUACGUCUAGAAAAAAUAUAUAUAUAUAUAUUUUAUACUUUGUGGGAAGAUAGAAACGAAUUGGCUAAAAAACGUCGAAGUUCAUUCGACGUUCGAUUUCAAGAAAACGACUUUCCCUCGAGUGUAUUCCUUGGCAUCUUUUUACGAGGACAAGAGGGUGUAAAGCGUAAAGAAACAAAGUUUCAAAGGAGUAUCUACUUCGAAUUCUCACGCAGCAUCCCAAAGAACAAACCGCAAGGCGCAAACCGAAAGUGCAUGCGCGUGUUCACUCGCGCAAGGAGAGAUACGACCAACUCGAAGUGAAUUUGCUUGUAAUAAUGUAUAUACCUGGUACUAGAAACCUAGGUACCUUCUUAAACUAUGUAAAGGCGCACGUAGAGUAGCUGAAGGUACACUCGUAUUCCUAAGUCUAUAAAUCGCAAAGGAUUUUCGGAAGUCUGAGGAGAAGCGUAUAGAUCUACUUUGUAGUUUCUACUUUUGGAGUAAUCCACGACGAUGGAGAGAGUGCCAAUUUGCAUCAGGUAAGACCAAGUUCGAAUCUUCGACCAGUUUAAGAAGAUACAAUCUGCAAUUCGAAUGCGGAAUCAUAGGGGAAUUCACAAUUUUCUUCUCUGUUAUCUCGGAAGAAGCUUUUUCCUGAUAUGGAAAAUUCCAAAGCACGUGUCUGGAUUCUCGGAUGCUGUGACCGAGCAUCUCCGUUUCGGUUUGCUUUUUCAUAUCCGAUCGCAUGCCAUCCCACGAUUACCACCGAUAUAUUCCGGAUAUCUAAUAUCGAAAGUUCCGCUCUAUCGGUUUUCGAUAAUUUUAAUUAUAUGUAUUUUAUUUAAUUACAAAUAUAAAAUUAAUGAAUUUUCAUUAACGUUUAUGCAUAUGAUCUUUGCACUGUUAAUUAAACAAAUAUACCGUGCCAUAACGUUAUAUCGAUAUAUUUAUAUUGAAUAAUGUAUAAAUUUCGUUCUCUUCAUUUUCAUUCAAGUUAAUUAAGUAAUCGUACAGUUUAAUAGCAUAUAUUAUAGAUACGAUAUUUUCUGAUGCAUAAAUUAAUUUUUAAAAUUUAUCAAAUCAAAAUUAAGUGAUGAUAGGAUGCAAUGACACAUACGUUGUAUACUUUCAUCGACGUUCGAUAAUUUAUACAAGCAUGCGAAUUCAAUUUAUUUCAAUUUCGAUCGCCGAAGAUUUCCCAAGAGCGGCCAUAAAUAAUUCAGAUCAUUAAGACGAAUCUUAAAAUUUUAUAUUUUCUUUGCCAUUAAUAAAGAUUAAUACGAUGAUCUAGAAGGAACGGACGUUAUAAAGUAAAGUAAUCUGACCUUUGAUAAAAUCAGAUGUGUUAGAAUGCGGCAGUACGGUCUAUAAACCAGUUUGGUGAACGCGCAUGCACGUGACAGAGCGAUGUCACGCUUCGUGCAUAAUCUACAUAGAUGAAAGUCGAUGAAAGACACGGGAUUAACAAUUAAUAUCUUUAUCUCAUUAAAGAUCAAAAUUGAAUUUUUAUCGAAGUUCGACUAUAGGAAGUGUCUUGUACAGUCACUAUCGCUCUCUACUGCUAUUGAUGAAAAUAAAAUUUCUCGAUCUUUUUUCUGAAUUUAGUUUAACAAAAUUUGAUAGACAAUUUAUGUAUCAGAGCGAAAAGUGUUGUUUCAAACGAUCGAUGUUCCGAAUAUAAAAUGUUGCAUUGGUUCUAGAAAAAAGAUUAUUUUAUAAGCAUUCCCGAUAAUCCGUAAGUUCCGUAUAUAUAUUCUAAACUACGAUUACGCUCGUAAUCGUGCUACAAGCCGCGAAACAUGGCAGUGGUAACAAAGGAGAUUAGAAAGUGGAAGGGGAAUGAAUUUCGUCGAGGCAUGCGUCGUCUUCGAAACGCCGAUAUCGUGUAGCUCGGCUUUGAAUCCAGCUAUUAAACUCGAAAUCGCUCCUAGCAGAGCGCAUCGGUAUACAUCUAACGAACCACAGAGCUUAAGUUGUCCAUGGAACAACGCGAGAGCAUCUGCGGCGAGAGGGAGAUAAGACGCAAGAUGUAACGUAGAGGAUGGAAUAGGUUUGAGGGUGAGAGAGUUGCCGCGCGUACCGUCCUAUCUAUGAUAGUCGAGAGAAGACUAUGUUGGACGCCUUUGUCGUGUAACAUUCGCUCAAACCUCAACUCUAUCCUCUAACCUCCUUCUCUCGCUGGCGGGAAUCCUUUGCAGUAGAUGGAACGUUGUAACCAAGCCGGUUACAUGUAGUCUCUCUAACGUUCUGGAUUGUUACUGUGAACUGACGAAACACGAAUUCUAUGCACUCACGACUGACGAGAAUUCAAACGACAUUUUUUUUGUCUACUGUAUCCAGGUUAAACUAGUUACCGUACUAUCUUCUAGUUAGAUUUCGAGUAACUCGAUGAUCUGUGAAUCGUUAGAUUUCUUUAAACGGAGUAAGUCGCAUUUGUUUUGGAAUCAUUGGAAAUAAUUAAAUUACCAAAUGUAAAUUACUAAACUAUCAAAACGUUCGCGAGACACGGAGUUGGGUUCAUUGCAAAUUAUAAUUAUAAAUUAACGGUUUGACGAUAAAUUGGGAGGUAGCGCGCAUGCUAUACAACGGUAUUAGAGAGGCAAGGUCCGAGAGUAAGCGCGUUAGAUAUGCUCGUUUUCUACGUGAUGAAUAGCUAGCAAUUUCGUUAGCCGUAUUCUAGAGCUGCUCGGAACGGAACGACCACCUGUGACUACUAGCAGCUCGCUACUGAGACCAACUAUAGCGAACGUAUGAAUUCUCUUGACUUACCGGUUAUCUCAAAGCGAAUCCUUUCAUCCAUCACACUCGACACCACGUUCGGUUACGAAAGGAGCCACGUGAAUCGAUCGUGACUGAAGAGGGACGUCGAUGUCCGCUUUUAUAUUGGCUAUGCUAACAUCGAACCAAAAUCUUCGAUAUAUUCGUCGCUUUUCAAUGUACGAAAUUAUAUCUAUAACAAAUAUUGUACGAUACGGAGAAUAAAAUGUCAUCAUUUAUAUUGAAAUCGUUGUUCGAAAUGACCAACUAGAUUAUUCUUCUUCAAAUAUUUAUCAAUUAUAGUUCGUAAAUAAAUCCACCUGUAUUCUGAUGAAAAUCGUUAUUAAACCAAUACGCAGAAUCAUGUUCCAACCAUUCCAAUUCCAAUUUACAUGGUAACGAAUACUUCCGAAUCAACAACAAUUCGUUUCGAACGAAGCAAUGAUCGAAUCUUCUUAAAAAAUCAUACGUCCACUCGUCCGAUCUGAAAUCAAUUUUGAAAUUUUCACUGAAUUCAUGAUAGUACCAAUAAAUGACAACCAAAGUUGAAGCCAAACUAUUUACUAAUUCUCGUUGAAAAGUUUCUCGUGUAGCAGUUACGUGGCAAAUAUUCUGAAGGGUAAGGAGAGACGGUUAAUUGCUCGUUAUAGAUGUUUCAACGGAGUUCCCGUGGUUGGUGCAGCACGUAAAGAGGAGAGAGAGAGAGAGAGAGAGAGAGAGAGAGAGAGAGAGAGAGAGAGAGAGAGGGAGAGAGAGGGAGGGAGGAAGAACAUUGAGUACUGCUUGCUGCUUCGCUCAAAGUCGCACGAAGCGUUACAAUCAAGUUAAACGUCGCACGCGUCACGUUCGCAAGCUAACGCAAACUCAUCGGAGAAUACAACGCGCGAGAUAGAGAUAAAGAGAGAGAGAGAGAGAGAAGAAAAUAGAGAUACAUAGAUAGAGAUAUACAGAAUACACCUGUAUUAGAUCGAAAGCGAUGUCCCGAUGUCUUUUCUUAAUGACGUUACAUUGGCAGUAACCGUCAAGGAGUACGCAAGUUUAACGAUAUUACGGUUGCGUUCCCGUUUUCAAAGUUACUCGUACCUAUUUCCUAUCUCGACUUCGACCUCUCAUCCUCAUGUUGUUGGAUAGUCUAGUUAUCGUUGUCGCUUAUAUAAUGCAUGUUGGUAACUGUGUUGUGGUAGUAACUUGGCGGCCCUUCUGUAUCAUCCAUCGGGAAUAGAAAGUGGUACUUUAUCUAUCUCUAUCUCUAUAUCUGUUUCUACCUCUCUCUCUCUCUCUCUCUCUCUCUCUCUUUCUCUUUCCAUUGUACGCGUUGAACAAGUUCAAGUAACCCACGAAGAGAUGUGGUACCUAGUUCUCUAUCGUAUUUGCAAACUAUCCUUCGUGUUCGGGUAGAUUAAUCUUUGUUCCUUCCACGUUAAGACGAGAUGAAGCUCAGUUCAGGGAGUACACACAUUCGCAGAUCGGUAUCGAGUAUCUGAGUUUCACGAGAAAUCGAGCGGAGUAUGGACCAUCAAGACAAUCACUAAAUUUCCUUUCGAGGGUUGAACUGGUCGUGUUCACUUUGCAUGCUAAAUGAUAGCUUCUUCAUUCGAUCAGAUCUCAAUUGUGAGUUUUAGAGUAAGAUCUUCGAUUUCAUGAUGUAAAAUGAUUAGAUAUUUUACAUUUGGCGAUCUAAUUUGAAUUAAUUUUAUUUUUUCCCUUAUAAUCGUAGGUAGAUUCUCUUAAAGAUUUCUACGUUUCAUUCGUGGAAAGUGGAAGCUUAUUAAGCGAUUUCACUCUGAAAUCUCGAGACGUACUUUCUCAGAUUUAAUUAAAUCCAUAUCUUGAUCCAUUACUCGAUGUGUCUUCUCGUAACAGGACGAAGCUUAAUCAAGGCUUAAUAGAUAUUUGAUAAGAUUGCUUUGAUUAUCGUCUCAGGUUACACAAUCUAACAUCAAUUUCACCUAAUAAUACUAUAUAUACUUCGAUCUAAUUUAGAUCGAUAUUAAUGAUUAAUUUUCGAAAGGGUAUAGAAAUCGGGUAAAUCAAAAAACGUUUUUAUCCGUCUGCACAAAUGCAUAAACGCAUACAUGAAUUAAACAUGAAUACAAGUAUCUAAUACUCGGAUUAAAAAGAUUAUUUUUAUUUUUGAAACAAAAAGAAAUCGAAAAUUAUAGUAAAAAAAAAUAA